rnacentral:rRNA from 1 species
AGAGUUUGAUCCUGGCUCAGAACGAACGCUGGCGGCAGGCCUAACACAUGCAAGUCGAGCGCAUCCUUCGGGAUGAGCGGCGGACGGGUUAGUAACGCGUGGGAAUAUGCCCUUCUCUAAGGAAUAGCCACUGGAAACGGUGAGUAAUACCUUAUACGCCCUUCGGGGGAAAGAUUUAUCGGAGAAGGAUUAGCCCGCGUUAGAUUAGAUAGUUGGUGGGGUAACGGCCUACCAAGUCGACGAUCUAUAGCUGGUUUGAGAGGAUGAUCAGCAACACUGGGACUGAGACACGGCCCAGACUCCUACGGGAGGCAGCAGUGGGGAAUCUUAGACAAUGGGCGCAAGCCUGAUCUAGCCAUGCCGCGUGAGUGAUGAAGGCCUUAGGGUCGUAAAGCUCUUUCGCCAGAGAUGAUAAUGACAGUAUCU